UAUCCGCGUUAGUGUGGCGGCUGCCAUGGUGACAGGCGCCAGGCUCCGCUGCCCCGCCUCCUGACUUCGGAAAGCGAGGUGCCAACCGGUACAAUGGGCCCGUCUCCUGCUCCCGCUUCACCUGGGACACAUUGUAACCGUGCAUCCAUCCCUGCUUGUUACUGGAGAAAUCCCUCUAUGAUGGCCUUCCUACAAAGUUGUGAGCAAGAGAAUUCCAACAGUUAGACAGCACAGGAUGAAGGUUAUAUUUGCAGUUUAGACUGAGUAACACGCACAAAGUACUGGAGGAACACAGCAACUCAGGAAGCAGCAAUGGAGAGGAAUAAAGAGCCAACAUUUCAGACCAAGACCCCUCAUCAGGACUGGAACAAUGAGUGAAGAAACCUUCAGAGAAAGAUCACACAAUGGAUUGCAGCUAUAAAUAUCUCAUGUCAAGUGGUGAGCAGAAUGAGGACUGUGGGAAGAGGAGAGAGAGAGAGUGAUGAUCAGAGGAUCUGGAAUAUCACACAGUGAGGACAUCAGGAGUGACCACCGAUCAGAACUGACUUCAGGGAGUGUUGGGUAGGGUAGGGUAGCCAGAUGGGUGAACCUAUUAGAGUGG